rnacentral:snRNA from 1 species
GUGCUUGCUUUGGCAGCACAGAUGGAGUGAUAUAGAGAUUAGCACAGCCCUUGUGCAAGGAUGACACGCAAAUAUGUGAAGCAUUCCAUAUUUUU